GCCCUCGGUGGCUCAGAUGGAUAGAGUGUCUGCCAUCUAAGCGGGAGAUCCCGGGUUCGAGUCCCGGUUGGGGCA
rnacentral:tRNA from 1 species